rnacentral:rRNA from 1 species
GAUGAACGCUGGCGGCGUGCUUAACACAUGCAAGUCGAACGGUGAAGGAGGGCUUGCCCUCCGGAUCAGUGGCGAACGGGUGAGUAACACGUGGGCAACCUGCCCCUCACUCUGGGAUAACGCCGGGAAACCGGCGCUAAUACCGGAUACGACCAGGCGCGACAUCUCGCCUGGUGGAAAGAAUUUCGGUGAGGGAUGGGCCCGCGGCCUAUCAGCUAGUUGGUGGGGUAACGGCCCACCAAGGCGACGACGGGUAGCCGGCCUGAGAGGGCGACCGGCCACACUGGGACUGAGACACGGCCCAGACUCCUACGGGAGGCAGCAGUGGGGAAUAUUGCGCAAUGGGCGAAAGCCUGACGCAGCGACGCAGCGUGAGGGACGAAGGCCUUCGGGUUGUAAACCUCUUUCAGCGGGGACGAAGCGAAAGUGACGGUACCCGCAGAAGAAGCACCGGCUAACUACGUGCCAGCCGCCGCAGUAAGAC